UACGUAGGGGGCAAGCGUUGUCCGGAAUUACUGGGCGUAAAGCGUGCGCAGGCGGUUUCGUAAGUCUGUCGUGAAAUCCCCGGGCUUAACCUGGGAAUGGCGAUGGAGACUGCGAGGCUAGAGUUUGGCAGAGGGGGGUAGAAUUCCACGUGUAGCAGUGAAAUGCGUAGAGAUGUGGAGGAACACCGAUGGCGAAGGCAGCCCCCUGGGUCAAAACUGACGCUCAUGCACGAAAGCGUGGGGAGCAAACAGG
rnacentral:rRNA from 1 species